rnacentral:rRNA from 1 species
CCUACGGGAGGCAGCAGUGGGAUAUUGACAUGGCGCAGCUGAUCAGCAUGCCGCGUGGUGAUGAAGCCUUAGGGUGUAAAGCCUUCGGCGGGAAGAUAAUGACGUACCCGCAGAAGAAGCCCCGGCUAACUUCGUGCCAGCAGCCGCGGUAAUACGAAGAGGGCUAGCGUUGCUCGGAAUCACUGGGCGUAAAGCGCACGUAGGCGGCUUCUUAAGUCAGGGGUGAAAUCCUGGAGCUCAACUCCAGAACUGCCUUUGAUACUGGGAAGCUUGAGUCCGGGAGAGGUGAGUGGAACUGCGAGUGUAGAGGUGAAAUUCGUAGAUAUUCGCAAGAACACCAGUGGCGAAGGCGGCUCACUGGCCCGGUACUGACGCUGAGGUGCGAAAGGUGGGGAGCAAACAGGAUUAGAUACCCUGGUAGUCCACGCCGUAAACGAUGGAUGCUAGCCGUUGGUGGGUUUACCCUUCAGUGGCGCAGCUAACGCAUUAAGCAUCCCGCCUGGGGAGUACGGUCGCAAGAUUAAAACUCAAAGGAAUUGACGGGGGCCCGCACAAGCGGUGGAGCAUGUGGUUCAAUUCGAAGCAACGCGCAGAACCUUACCAACCUUUGACAUCCCGGUCGCGGGCGCCAGAGAUGGAGCCCUUCAGUUCGGCUGGACCGGAGACAGGUGCUGCAUGGCUGUCGUCAGCUCGUGUCGUGAGAUGUUGGGUUAAGUCCCGCAACGAGCGCAACCCUCGCCCUUAGUUGCCAUCAUUCAGUUGGGCACUCUAAGGGGACUGCCGGUGAUAAGCCGGAGGAAGGUGGGGAUGACGUCAAGUCCUCAUGGCCCUUACAGGUUGGGCUACACACGUGCUACAAUGGCGGUGACAGAGGGACGCAAAGGAGCAAUCCCCAGCAAAUCUCUAAAAGCCGUCUCAGUUCGGAUUGUGCUCUGCAACUCGAGCACAUGAAGUUGGAAUCGCUAGUAAUCGCAGAUCAGCACGCCGCGGUGAAUACGUUCCCGGG